GCUGGGCGUGGUGGUGCAUGCCUGUAGUCCCAGCUACUCGGGAGGCUGAGGCAGGAGAAUCACUUGAACCCAGGAGGUGGAGGUUGCAGUGAACCGAGAUUGCACCACUGCACUCCAGCCUGGGCAACAAAGUGAGACUCUGUCUCAA
ensembl:misc_RNA Metazoa_SRP Metazoan signal recognition particle RNA